GGGUAAGACAUCAAAUUUGUGAGUUGUCGAACUAUCCACAUACGUUUUGUUAGUGAUUGUUGCACAUAGGCCACAUACGUAUGAAUUUCAAUUAAACUAUUGUAGUCUAAACGGUAUUUUACUGUGGGUACUGCUACUGCUGUAAUGCCUGCCUUGGACCAAGAAACGCUUUCGAAUUUCAAGAAAGUUUUCGAAUAUUUGCUGUAGUACCAAAGACCACGUGUUAAAAUAUUCCCUACAGUGCUUCUGGAAAAGUGUCUCUAGUUUCGUUAACUUGGAACCUUGUUCAAAACACACACUAUUUUAAUAGUGUGUUUUUAAAGGAGAACAACUUUAUGUGAUACUUCUGUCAAGGUGCUACUGUUGAUUGGGGCUUUACAAUAAGAACUCAUCGGUGUCCUACAUCCAGAAAGAAUAUCUUGAAAGUACCGGGAGAACCUGAUGAUGAUGAAGAAUCGUCCAGCCGGGCGCGUUAAUCAGAGACAUGGGAGGAGAGGCCGGCCGGCAGCAGCAGCAGCAGCCCAAAAAGUCCAUUAUCUAAAGGACAAUAUAGACAGUCAAGACUCUCGUAUCUACUCUACUACACACCGGUGGGGUAGCCAGCCAUUCUCUCUUUGAUGAGGUUGCCGUAGCAACGGCGACUGUUUCUCAGAGCUCAGCAGAGACAGUUGCUGGCCGGGCCUUGUUCCUGCCGAUGUCGUACAUCCCUCGACCACUGCUACCACUCCACUACAACAACAACAACAACAACUACCUGCUACUGGUAUUUGUGUUCUUCUUUCCAUCGAGUCCUGGGCGGCAGCGGCGGCGGCGGCUUUUCGGUUAAAGAGGGGCCCCCAUGAACCCAACCAACCCGACAGUCUAUUUUCCAGGGGGAAGGGGGGGAAGAACCUUUCCAUCCCUCGCCAUCCCAAAAGAAGGUAAAACUAAAAAUGGUGGGAAAAAGGCAAAGAUGCAGUAGCGCAGUCGUCGAAUUUAUCAAAAGAGGAAGAAAACGAGUCGGUCGCUACGAUGACAGCCGACUUGGUCGACUAGAGUAAAAAAUGAAUGACAUUAUGUGCAUGUGUCUCCUUUGGAGAAAAAGGGAAUAAGAGAAGAGAAGAGACAACGGGAUAAAAACUGCCAGGUUAUUCAUCACGCUGGGCAGAGGACGUUGUGUCAUCUUUUUUUUUAUUUUCUUUCUAUUUUUUGCUAUUUUUGAUUUGAUUUUCCAUUUCGCCGACACAAGAAGAAGAAGAAGAGAAAAGAGAUUCUCGAUGGUGGUCAGACCUUCUCAUUUUUGGCCAUUUUUAUUUGAUUCGAGAGUUCAUCUUAUUUUUUGAACGGUUGGACAUUGCGUCAUAUAGACUCUCUCUGCAGAUUAGUGAACGAGAAAAUGUCCAAUUCCAUUGGGUUUUCUCAAUUGACUUGUUCGCAAUCAGAAACGGGUUUUUGAUUCGUUUCUGAUUUUUCUUUUUCUUUUUUUCUUUUUUACUUUUGUGAAAUGUCCAUUUUUUUCACGAUUGGACGCAGGCACUUAUAUACAGACUCGCAGAAUAGUCUAUGAGACGUGUGGUUACAUCAGCCAAAGCCUUUGUAAAACGUUCGAAUUUUCAGAGAGCUUUUCCGGCGGCGAAAUGAGACGAAUCCAGUUUUCCUUUCCAGUAUUUUCUUGUUUGGUUUUUUUAAACAUUGGAAAAUUCACUGGCCGUUAUUAGAAACAUUGAAAAAUUAAAAAUAAAAGAGAGAGGAGGUAAUAUUCUGUACACGAUACCAAUGGAUGACAUAUAGGACGUGAGUAGUGCAACCGCGAAAUUUUUCUCUCUAAAGACAAAUGGCGGAGAAGCCGUGCUCUUUUCUUUUCCUUUUUUCCCCUGGACUGGC
rnacentral:lncRNA from 1 species